AGCUCCAAUAGCGUAUAUUAAAGUUGUUGCAGUUAAAAAGCUCGUAGUUGGAUUUGUGGUUUAUGCAAGACUUCCGUCCCUCUUUGGGUUCGGUGUUGUCUGGCAUUGCCAUCCUUGGGUGGAAUCUGUGUGGCAUUAGGUUGUCGUGCAGGGGAUGCCCAUCGUUUACUGUGAAAAAAUUAGAGUGUUCAAAGCAGGCUUAUGCCAUUGAAUAUGUUAGCAUGGAAUAAUAAUAUAGGACCUUGGUACUAUUUUGUUGGUUUGCGCACCGAGGUAAUGAUUAACAGGGUCAACUGGGGAUAUUCGUAUUCCGCUGUCAGAGGUGAAAUUCUUGGAUUUUUGGAAGACGAACUACUGCGAAAGCAUUUAUCAAGGAUGUUUUCAUUAAUCAAGAACGAAA
rnacentral:rRNA from 1 species